rnacentral:rRNA from 1 species
UACGUAGGGUGCAAGCGUUGUCCGGAAUUAUUGGGCGUAAAGAGCUCGUAGGCGGUGUGUCGCGUCGGCCGUGAAAACCUGCAGCUUAACUGUGGGCUUGCGGUCGAUACGGGCAUCACUGGAGUUCGGCAGGGGAGACUGGAAUUCCUGGUGUAGCGGUGAAAUGCGCAGAUAUCAGGAGGAACACCAGCGGCGAAGGCGGCGCUCUGGGCCGGAACUGACGCUGAGGAGCGAAAGCGUGGGGAGCAAACAGG